rnacentral:rRNA from 1 species
GGGGAAUUUUCCGCAAUGGGGGCACCCCUGUACGGAGCAAUACCGCGUGGGGGAGGAAGGCCCUUGGGUUGUAAACCCCUUUUGUCAGGGUAAGAACACAAUGACGGUACCUGACGAAUCAGCCUCGGCUAACUCCGUGCCAGCAGCCGCGGUAAGACGGAGGAGGCAAGCGUUAUCCGGAAUUAUUGGGCGUAAAGCGUCCGCAGGUGGCUUCUCAAGUCUGCUGUUAAAGCCCAGGGNCUCAACUCUGGAGAAGCAGUGGAAACUGAGAGGCUUGAGUGCGGUAGGGGUAGAGGGAAUUCCCGGUGUAGCGGUGAAAUGCGUAGAGAUCGGGAAGAACACCAGUGGCGAAAGCGCUCUACUGGACCGCAACUGACACUGAGGGACGAAAGCUAGGGGAGCGAAUGGGAUUAGAUACCCCAGUAGUC